rnacentral:lncRNA from 1 species
GUGUAAGAUGUAAGAAAUGUAAAAUCAUAUUUAUUGUAAAUCUCUGGUUUGUUCUCUAGGCUCAGAGUCCAGAGCUAGCCAGGAGCCUUGCCUGGACAGCAGCAGUAUCCACAGCAACUUGGCCACCCCAACCCUGACCUCCACUGUCCAGAGACAGCCAUCCAAACAGCCUCCAGUCACAUACAUCCCCCCCACCAGCCCUGACAAGGGCAGCAUCUUAUGCGAGCCUAUGUCUGAUGAGGACUUCUCAGAGGGUUCACUUCUGCGCCAGGUGGAACCCACCAGAAGGAGCAAGCAACUCAAUGUACAAACCAGCCCGUCCUCGGAGCACUGUGACCUUGACUCCCAUCUGACCAUGUAAGACUGUAUUUAACAAAAUUGGCUUUAUCUGAUCAAAAUGUAUCUAUAUAUUACAUGAUCAGAUCAAACCCACAACACAGUCUUUACAAUUCUACAAGGUUAAGGACUCAUACAAAUGUUUCUUAGGCUGAGUCUGAUUGAGGAAGAUCAGAAUGAGGAUGCAGUGGAGGAAGAGCCUGAAAUUGAAGACUUUGAAAGUGACCAUUUUUCUGACCAUGACACAGCCUUUACACAGGUAGAACACUAGCACACCUACAUUUUUCUUUUUGGUCCACUGACCCUACCAUACACACUUUUUUUUUUUUUUAACCUCUUGCUCUUUCCCCUCCUUUUUUCUCCAGCCAUCCAACCGUCAUUCCACCAGCUACUUGGAGGACUUGUUUCAGUGACAGAAAUGAUGUGCCAUCACAGUAACAUUGGAGAAGAACUUGUAGGACAAGAAUUGGAGUUAAAUAGCUUUCUUUUUUCUUUUUUUCUCUGCUUAAAAAUAUUUGAACAUUGAAUGAGUAGAGG